UGAGCGGCGGACGGGUGAGUAACACGUAAAGAACCUGCCCUCAGGUCUGGGAUAACCACGAGAAAUCGGGGCUAAUACCGGAUGGGUCAUCGGACCGCAUGGUCCGAGGAUGAAAGGCGCUUCGGCGUCGCCUGGGGAUGGCUUUGCGGUGCAUUAGCUAGUUGGUGGGGUAAUGGCCCACCAAGGCGACGAUGCAUAGCCGACCUGAGAGGGUGAUCGGCCACACUGGGACUGAGACACGGCCCAGACUCCUACGGGAGGCAGCAUUAGGGAAUCUUCCACAAUGGACGAAAGUCUGAUGGAGCAACGCCGCGUGAACGAUGAAGGCCUUCGGGUCGUAAAGUUCUGUUGUAAGGGAAGAACAAGUGCCGCAGGCAAUGGCGGCACCUUGACGGUACCUUGCGAGAAAGCCACGGCUAACUACGUGCCAGCAGCCGCGGUAAUACGUAGGUGGCAAGCGUUGUCCGGAAUUAUUGGGCGUAAAGCGCGCGCAGGCGGCCUCUUAAGUCUGAUGUGAAAGCCCCCGGCUCAACCGGGGAGGGCCAUUGGAAACUGGGAGGCUUGAGUAUAGUGAGAGAAGAGUGGAAUUCCAC
rnacentral:rRNA from 1 species